rnacentral:rRNA from 1 species
UACGGAGGGAGCUAGCGUUGUUCGGAAUUACUGGGCGUAAAGCGCGCGCAGGCGGUCCUUUAAGUCAGGGGUGAAAGCCCAGAGCUCAACUCUGGAACUGCCUUUGAAACUAGAGGACUUGGGUACGGGAGAGGUGAGUGGAAUUCCGAGUGUAGAGGUGAAAUUCGUAGAUAUUCGGAAGAACACCAGUGGCGAAGGCGGCUCACUGGCCCGUUACCGACGCUCAGGCGCGACAGCGUGGGGAGCAAACAGG